UACGAGGGGGGCAAGUGUUGUUCGGAAUCACUGGGCGUAAAGGGAGCGUAGGCGGAUGCUUAAGUUGGAUGUUUAAAACCGGGGCCUAACCCCGGGGCGGCAUCCAAAACUGGGCAUCUUGAAUGGAACAGAGGCUAGUGGAAUUGGGGGUGUAGCGGUGGAAUGCGUAGAGAUCCCCAAGAACACCAAUUGCGAAGGCAGCUAGCUGGGUUCACAUUGACGCUGAGGCUCGAAAGCAUGGGGAGCAAACAGG
rnacentral:rRNA from 1 species